GGCACCCGCGCAGCUGGCUCCCGGGAGGAGGGAGGAGGCCGGGCUUCUAUCUGCACGGGACUGGAAGCGCAUCGGUGGGGACCCCGGUGGACCCAGGGGAAACUUCUGGGCGAAACACAGCGAGCGUGCAGGGGCCUGUGUCUGGGCCGAUGCUGGACGAGCCCACUGGAGAGGGAGAGUGGGGCGCCCCGGGACCCGGGGUGUUCGGGCUGUCCAAGGAGCUGGAAGAAAGCGCUGCAGGGAAAUGGAUGGGCUUGAGCGGAUUGGCCGCGCAGAAGGUGAAGGGAACAGAAAUAGAAAAGUUUCAAAAAGGAGAAGGCAAGGAUGAAGAGAAGUACAUUGAUGUGGUGAUAAAUAAGAACAUGAAGCUGGGACAGAAAGUGUUGAUUCCUGUAAAGCAGUUUCCCAAGUUCAACUUUGUGGGGAAGCUUUUGGGUCCACGUGGCAAUUCUCUGAAGCGCUUACAAGAAGAAACGUUGACAAAAAUGUCCAUCCUUGGAAAAGGUUCCAUGAGAGACAAGGCAAAGGAGGAAGAGCUGAGGAAAAGUGGAGAGGCAAAAUACUUCCACCUCAAUGACGACCUGCAUGUGCUCAUUGAAGUGUUCGCGCCCCCAGCAGAAGCUUAUGCCCGGAUGGGGCACGCCUUGGAAGAGAUCAAGAAGUUCCUGAUCCCUGAUUAUAAUGAUGAAAUCAGGCAAGCACAGCUCCAGGAAUUAACAUAUUUGAAUGGAGGUUCAGAAAAUGCAGAUGUCCCUGUGGUUCGAGGGAAAUCCACUUUGCGUACAAGAGGUGUAACAACACCAGCAAUAACCAGGGGAAGAGGAGGAGUCACAGCCAGGCCUGUUGCAGUUGGGGUACCACGCGGGACACCGACUCCUCGAGGGGUCCUUUCCACCCGAGGGCCAGUGAGCCGGGGAAGAGGACUUCUCACUCCCAGAGCAAGAGGUGUCCCCCCAACUGGAUACAGACCUCCACCGCCACCCCCAACACAGGAGACCUAUGGAGAGUAUGACUAUGAUGAUGGGUACGGUACUGCAUACGAUGAACAGAGUUACGACUCCUAUGACAACAGCUACAGCACCCCAGCCCAAAGCGGAGCUGAUUACUAUGAUUACGGGCAUGGACUCGGUGAGGAGGCUUACGAUUCCUAUGGGCAAGAGGAAUGGGCUAACUCAAGACACAAGGCUCCUUCAGCGAGGACAGCGAAGGGCGUCUACAGAGACCAGCCAUAUGGCAGAUACUGAUUGUACUGUCUGAUGUUGUGAAAUAGCCAAUCUGCACCGUCCUGUAUACUGUUCAAAGAAAUGUUGACCACCUUGGACUGUCAGAGGAGCUCGGUGUGACUUAGAGCAAACAAAGGAACUGCUUCUGUUACGGGCUGCUUAAGGACAGUCACCUCACCAUCGUGCCUACUAAUGAAUCCACUUGGGAACUUGACAGUCACCAAUUGAUUAUUGUUAUUUUGUCCCUAAUGUGUGUUUUUGGAAUGUUUUCAUGAAACAUUUUUUUAAUUUAAAAAGUCUUUUUUUUUCUUUUUAAAGAAAGAAAGUUUUAUUUUGUUGUCUCAGAAACAAACAAGAAGAAUGAUUUGUAUUGUCGCUAAUAAAGGCUCCCCCAUCAAAAUCUCUUCCAUUUUAA